GUGCUCGCUCCGGCAGCACAUAUACUAAAAUUGAAACCAUACAGAGAUUAGCACAGCCCCUGUGUAAGGAGGACACACAAAUUCGUGCAGCGUUCCAGAUUUUU
ensembl:snRNA U6 U6 spliceosomal RNA